GCACAACAACCAAAUUGCAACUUUUAAUGGAAAUAUCUUUAAAGGUUUGACGGCUCUUAAUAAAUUGUACUUGGACAACAAUCCACUGGACUGCUCCAAAUGCGAAUUAAAAAAGUUAAAGGAAUUUCUGCAACAUAAGACAAAUUUGGUAGUUUCCGGUGCAUUGUGUGAAAACAAAAAGUUAAUUAAUCAUAUCUUCACCAACUGCAAAGAGAUGACAGCAGAACAUACAGAAGAAAUCUCAACUGUUUCCCAGCAACAAACAAGCCUUAUUAUAAGUAGUGCAAAAUCAGAUACGACAGAAACAUUUCCAUCUUCUGCUACAAUAGAUAAUCCAGCAAGAACAACGCAGAGUACUACAGGUAUAAUAAAUACAGAAGUUAUCAUUUAUUUAUCGUGUGGAGUUAGCUUUUUUCUCAUUCUCAGCUGCAGUAUGGCUUGCUUCUAUGGAGGCAAAACAUAUCAAAAGGCACACAUUAACCAAAAUGUAGGAAUUAAUCAAAUUAUAGAUUUAAAUAACCGCGAAGUUGACGAAGACAGUGACGCAGAAAUAAGCCUAAAUAUUUUAACAGAAAGGGGAAGUGGUUACGGAUAUGCCGAAAUAGAUGAGCUUGAGCUGUCUGAAUUCAUUUUGAUACCUCUCGAACAACUACAUCUAGUACAUGACGACAGUUCAAGUGAUUCGUAUGAUGGGAUCCGACCACCAAGCGAUGGCUAUUUAAACCCCUAUCAGUCACUGUUGCCUUCUUUGCAGCAGUCCGGAAACGAUCAGGAUGAUUCUGAUGAAUAUAGUCAUCCAGAUGAAGAGAACAGAGCGUACACCAAUCUUUACCAAUCCUUACGAUACAAUCGACCACACGAUUUAAGACAAUAUGCAAGCUGUGCCAGUGUACAGUAUUUUGAAGUCCUAGACGAACCAAUUCGAAACGAAAACGAUCUUAAUAUAAAGGAAUAUAGUAAACGGCAUAGGAAAACUUGGUAAGAAACAAAUUGAAAAAUGACAGUUUAAUAGCCGUUAAAUAUAUGCAUACACAAACGUUGAAUUCAAAUAAUUCACAAAUUUCUAAAUAGAAAUGGAAAACGGUUAUCUCAUAAUGCAAAAACAACACAAGACCUAAAACAAAUACGCAUAAACAUGUUGCCUUAAUGUUUUUUGAUAUUUUUUUACACACUUUGUAUGUAAAUUAUGACUUCAGAUGCUCAAUGCUAAUGUGUGUAAGUUUCUAGUUAAGUAGCUGUCAAUAAUUGGUUAAGUGUUUAUUUAUCUUAUUAUAAUCAACUAUUUAUUUCCCCAGCAGCUUAGCACAAAUCACUUUUUGUUGUACUUUUUCAUAGUUGUGUAAACCAUAAGACAAAUAUUAUGUAUUGUGCUUAUAAACAUAUUCCAGCCAUUAUAUUUAUAAUGUUUCUUUUAAUCGGAAGAUAGCAAAGAGUCAAUAAAAACCAAAAUCCUGAAAUGAUAGACAUAUUAUUUGCAAAAACAUGUAUAUAAUUAAUAUCAACCUUAAAUGGCAAUGCAAGGUUUCUAUCCUUUUGUUGUUUAUCGUCCACAUAGUCCGAUUUAUACUGUUACUGGUUUCUUCCAUUUGGUCUAAAAUCUAGUAAGUGUUACAAAUGGACCUGUGUGUUCAUGUGUAAUGCUUAACUGAUUAUCAGUGUGGUUUUUUUUCAAAUUGAUAUAUUGUGUACUUACACCUUUACA